AGCUUGCUCUGCGGAUCAGUGGCGAACGGGUGAGUAACACGUGGGCAACCUGCCCCUGACUCUGGGAUAAGCGCUGGAAACGGCGUCUAAUACUGGAUAUGAGCUGCGAUCGCAUGGUCAGCAGUUGGAAAGAUUUUUCGGUCUGGGAUGGGCUCACGGCCUAUCAGCUUGUUGGUGAGGUAAUGGCUCACCAAGGCGUCGACGGGUAGCCGGCCUGAGAGGGUGACCGGCCACACUGGGACUGAGACACGGCCCAAACUCC
rnacentral:rRNA from 1 species